GCCCAUGUGGCUCAGUUGGUAGAGCAUGGUGUUUGCAACGCCAGGGUUGUGGGUUCGAUUCCUACAGUGGACC
rnacentral:tRNA from 1 species